rnacentral:rRNA from 1 species
AUUGAACGCUGGCGGCAGGCCUAACACAUGCAAGUCGAGCGGAUGAAGGGAGCUUGCUCCUGGAUUCAGCGGCGGACGGGUGAGUAAUGCCUAGGAAUCUGCCUGGUAGUGGGGGAUAACGUCCGGAAACGGGCGCUAAUACCGCAUACGUCCUGAGGGAGAAAGUGGGGGAUCUUCGGACCUCACGCUAUCAGAUGAGCCUAGGUCGGAUUAGCUAGUUGGUGGGGUAAAGGCCUACCAAGGCGACGAUCCGUAACUGGUCUGAGAGGAUGAUCAGUCACACGCGAAGUAAGAAACGGCCCAGAACCCUAGGGAGGCAGCAGUGGGGAAUAUUGGACAAUGGGCGAAAGCCUGAUCCAGCCAUGCCGCGUGUGUGAAGAAGGUCUUCGGAUUGUAAAGCACUUUAAGUUGGGAGGAAGGGCAGUAAGUUAAUACCUUGCUGUUUUGACGUUACCAACAGAAUAAGCACCGGCUAACUUCGUG